GAUGAACGCUGGCGGCGUGCCUAAUACAUGCAAGUCGAGCGAACAGAUGAGGAGCUUGCUCCUCUGACGUUAGCGGCGGACGGGUGAGUAACACGUGGAUAACCUACCUAUAAGACUGGGAUAACUUCGGGAAACCGGAGCUAAUACCGGAUAAUAUAUUGAACCGCAUGGUUCAAUAGUGAAAGACGGUUUUGCUGUCACUUAUAGAUGGAUCCGCGCCGCAUUAGCUAGUUGGUAAGGUAACGGCUUACCAAGGCAACGAUGCGUAGCCGACCUGAGAGGGUGAUCGGCCACACGGGAACUGAGACACGGUCCAGACUCCUACGGGAGGCAACAGUAGGGAAUCUUCCGCAAUGGGCGAAAGCCUGACGGAGCAACGCCGCGUGAGUGAUGAAGGUCUUCGGAUCGUAAAACUCUGUUAUUAGGGAAGAACAAAUGUGUAAGUAACUAUGCACGUCUUGACGGUACCUAAUCAGAAAGCCACGGCUAACUACGUG
rnacentral:rRNA from 1 species